UUAAGUUAAUAAGGGCGCACGGUGGAUGCCUUGGCACUAGGAGCCGACGAAGGACGUGACAAACGACGAUAUGCCUUGGGUAGCUGUAAGUAAGCGAUGAUCCAGGGAUUUCCGAAUGGGGGAACCCAACAGGUAAUACCUGUUACCUACAUCUGUUAAGGAUGUGAGGAGGAAGACGCAGUGAACUGAAACAUCUAAGUAGCUGCAGGAAGAGAAAGCAAAAGCGAUUGCCUUAGUAGCGGCGAGCGAAACGGCAGAAGGGCAAACCGAAGAGUUUACUCUUCGGGGUUGUAGGACUGCAAUGUGGACUCAAAGAUUAUAGAAGAAUGAUUUGGGAAGAUCAGCCAAAGAGAGUAAUAGCCUCGUAUUUAAAAUAGUCUUUGUACUUAGCAGUAUCCUGAGUACGGCGGGACACGUGAAAUCCCGUCGGAAUCUGGGAGGACCAUCUCCCAACCCUAAAUACUCCCUAGUGACCGAUAGUGAACCAGUACCGUGAGGGAAAGGUGAAAAGCACCCCGGGAGGGGAGUGAAAUAGAACCUGAAACCGUGUGCCUACAACAAGUUCGAGCCCGUUAAUGGGUGAGAGCGUGCCUUUUGUAGAAUGAACCGGCGAGUUACGUUAUGAUGCGAGGUUAAGUUGAAGAGACGGAGCCGUAGGGAAACCGAGUCUGAAUAGGGCGCCUUAGUAUCAUGACGUAGACCCGAAACCAUGUGACCUACCCAUGAGCAGGUUGAAGGUGCGGUAAGACGCACUGGAGGACCGAACCAGGGCACGUUGAAAAGUGCUUGGAUGACUUGUGGGUAGCGGAGAAAUUCCAAACGAACUUGGAGAUAGCUGGUUCUCUCCGAAAUAGCUUUAGGGCUAGCGUCGACAUUAGAGAUUCUUGGAGGUAGAGCACUGUUUGGGUGAGGGGUUCAUCCCGGAUUACCAAUCUCAGAUAAACUCCGAAUGCCAAUGAAUUAUGGUCGGCAGUCAGACUGCGAGUGCUAAGAUCCGUAGUCGAAAGGGAAACAGCCCAGACCACCAGCUAAGGUCCCAAAAUAAUUGUUAAGUGGAAAAGGAUGUGGGGUUGCACAGACAACUAGGAUGUUAGCUUAGAAGCAGCUAUUCAUUCAAAGAGUGCGUAAUAGCUCACUAGUCGAGUGACCCUGCGCCGAAAAUGUACCGGGGCUAAAACAAUUUACCGAAGCUGUGGAUACCUUUAUAGGUAUGGUAGGAGAGCGUUCUAUGUGUGAUGAAGGUAUACCGUGAGGAGUGCUGGAACGCAUAGAAGUGAGAAUGCCGGUAUGAGUAGCGAAAGACAGGUGAGAAUCCUGUCCACCGUAAGACUAAGGUUUCCAGGGGAAGGCUCGUCCGCCCUGGGUUAGUCGGGACCUAAGGAGAGACCGAAAGGUGUAUCCGAUGGACAACAGGUUGAUAUUCCUGUACUAGAGUAUGUAGUGAUGGAGGGACGCAGUAGGCUAACUAAAGCAGACGAUUGGAAGAGUCUGUCUAAGCAGUGAGGUGUGAAUUGAGUCAAAUGCUUAAUUCUAUAACAUUGAGCUGUGAUGGGGAGCGAAGUUUAGUAGCGAAGUUAGUGACGUCACACUGCCAAGAAAAGCUUCUAGCGUUUAAACAUACUCUACCCGUACCGCAAACCGACACAGGUAGUCGAGGCGAGUAGCCUCAGGUGAGCGAGAGAACUCUCGUUAAGGAACUCGGCAAAAUGACCCCGUAACUUCGGGAGAAGGGGUGCUGACUUAAAGUCAGCCGCAGUGAAUAGGCCCAAGCAACUGUUUAUCAAAAACACAGCUCUCUGCUAAAUCGUAAGAUGAUGUAUAGGGGGUGACGCCUGCCCGGUGCUGGAAGGUUAAGAGGAGUGCUUAGCGUAAGCGAAGGUAUGAAUUGAAGCCCCAGUAAACGGCGGCCGUAACUAUAACGGUCCUAAGGUAGCGAAAUUCCUUGUCGGGUAAGUUCCGACCCGCACGAAAGGCGUAAUGAUUUGGGCACUGUCUCAACGAGAGACUCGGUGAAAUUUUAGUACCUGUGAAGAUGCAGGUUACCCGCGACAGGACGGAAAGACCCCAUGGAGCUUUACUGCAGUUUGAUAUUGAGUGUCUGUACCACAUGUACAGGAUAGGUAGGAGUCUAAGAGAUCGGGACGCCAGUUUCGAAGGAGACGCUGUUGGGAUACUACCCUUGUGUUAUGGCCACUCUAACCCAGAUAGGUGAUCCCUAUCGGAGACAGUGUCUGACAGGCAGUUUGACUGGGGCGGUCGCCUCCUAAAAGGUAACGGAGGCGCCCAAAGGUUCCCUCAGAAUGGUUGGAAAUCAUUCGCAGAGUGUAAAGGUAUAAGGGAGCUUGACUGCGAGAGCUACAACUCGAGCAGGGACGAAAGUCGGGCUUAGUGAUCCGGUGGUUCCGUAUGGAAGGGCCAUCGCUCAACGGAUAAAAGCUACCCUGGGGAUAACAGGCUUAUCUCCCCCAAGAGUUCACAUCGACGGGGAGGUUUGGCACCUCGAUGUCGGCUCGUCGCAUCCUGGGGCUGUAGUCGGUCCCAAGGGUUGGGCUGUUCGCCCAUUAAAGCGGCACGCGAGCUGGGUUCAGAACGUCGUGAGACAGUUCGGUCCCUAUCCGUCGCGGGCGUAGGAAAUUUGAGAGGAUCUGCUCCUAGUACGAGAGGACCAGAGUGGACUUACCGCUGGUGUACCAGUUGUCUUGCCAAAGGCAUCGCUGGGUAGCUAUGUAGGGAAGGGAUAAACGCUGAAAGCAUCUAAGUGUGAAACCCACCUCAAGAUGAGAUUUCCCAUGAUUAUAUAUCAGUAAGAGCCCUGAGAGAUGAUCAGGUAGAUAGGUUAGAAGUGGAAGUGUGGCGACACAUGUAGCGGACUAAUACUAAUAGCUCGAGGACUUAUCCAA
rnacentral:rRNA from 1 species